rnacentral:ncRNA from 1 species
AGGGUAGAGGCGCAAACGAUCAUCAGUAUCGCCCUCGUGGACGGCAGGUCCGAGACGAGGCCGAGAAAGGGAUGGCUUGCCGAAGUCGCGUUCGCUCUGCCAGCGGAUGCUGCUGGGCCAGCGAGAUAAUAUCUCCUGGACUGUCACAGCCAAAGCGGCUGUGGGGCGCUCUCUU